UACACUCCUACGGGAGGCAGCAGUGGGGAAUUUUGGCCAAUGGGCGAAAGCCUGAUCCAGCAAUGCCGCGUGAGUGAAGAAGGCCUUCGGGUUGUAAAGCUCUUUUGUCAGGGAAGAAACGGUGAAAGCUAAUAUCUUUUGCUAAUGACGGUACCUGAAGAAUAAGCACCGGCUAACUACGUGCCAGCAGCCGCGGUAAUACGUAGGGUGCAAGCGUUAAUCGGAAUUACUGGGCGUAAAGCGUGCGCAGGCGGUUUUGUAAGUCUGAUGUGAAAUCCCCGGGCUCAACCUGGGAAUUGCAUUGGAGACUUCAAGGCUAGAAUCUGGCAGAGGGGGGUAGAAUUCCACGUGUAGCAGUGAAAUGCGUAGAUAUGUGGAGGAACACCGAUGGCGAAGGCAGCCCCCUGGGUCAAGAUUGACGCUCAUGCACGAAAGCGUGGGGAGCAAACAGGAUUAGAUACCCGUGUAGUCCCA
rnacentral:rRNA from 1 species